UGGGGAAUCAUGGUCAAUGGGCGAAAGCCUGAACCUGCGACGCCGCGUGAGUGAUGAAGGUCGUAAGAUCGUAAAACUCUUUUCAGGGAUCUUACAGCCUGUCUGUCAACAACAGGCAGGUCUGACUCUCCCUGGAAGAAGCCCCAGCCAACUACGUGCAAGCAGCUGCGGUAAUACGUAGGGGGCGAGCGUUAUUCGGAAUUACUGGGUGUAAAGGGUAUGUAGGCGGCCCUUCAAGUCGCGUGUCAAAGUCCAGUGCUCAACGCUGGGUGUGCGCGCGAUACUGACCGGCUUGAGGGCUGGAGAGGUGAGCGGAAUUCCCGGUGUAGUGGUAAAAUACGUAGAGAUCGGGAGGAACACCAGCGGCGCAGGCGGCUCACUAGACAGUUUCUGACGCUAAGAUACGAAAGCGUGUGGAGCAAACA
rnacentral:rRNA from 1 species